rnacentral:rRNA from 1 species
CGGGUGAGUAACGCGUGAGAAUCUAACUUCAGGACGGGGACAACAGUUGGAAACGACUGCUAAUACCCGAUGUGCCGCAAGGUGAAACCUAAUUGGCCUGGAGAAGAGCUUGCGUCUGAUUAGCUAGUUGGUGGGGUAAGAGCCUACCAAGGCGACGAUCAGUAGCUGGUUUGAGAGGAUGAGCAGCCACACUGGGACUGAGACACGGCCCAGACUCCUACGGGAGGCAGCAGUGGGGAAUUUUCCGCAAUGGGCGAAAGCCUGACGGAGCAACGCCGCGUGAGGGAGGAAGGUCUUUGGAUUGUAAACCUCUUUUCUCAAGGAAGAAGUUCUGACGGUACUUGAGGAAUCAGCCUCGGCUAACUCCGUGCCAGCAGCCGCGGUAAUACGGGGGAGGCAAGCGUUAUCCGGAAUUAUUGGGCGUAAAGCGUCCGCAGGUGGUCAGCCAAGUCUGCCGUCAAAUCAGGUUGCUUAACGACCUAAAGGCGGUGGAAACUGGCAGACUAGAGAUCAGUAGGGGUAGCAGGAAUUCCCAGUGUAGCGGUGAAAUGCGUAGAGAUUGGGAAGAACAUCGGUGGCGAAAGCGUGCUACUGGGCUGUAUCUGACACUCAGGGACGAAAGCUAGGGGAGCGAAAAGGGAUUA